UAUCAUCACUCGCAUAAGACUUGCGUGUAGAAAUGCAAGAAUAUGAAUGACACCGGAAUUCGACUUGAAUGAAUACCAGAGCCACAUAAUUUUCAAAUAUAAUUUUACUCUAAUAAAUAUAUUUUAGAAUCAAAAUUACGAAUUUUCAUUUGUUUUUACUGUUGUAAAUCAAUAGGUCACUGGUCCAUCGUCGACGCAGCCCUUUAUGAUUCAUGAUGACUUUUCGACCCCGUGUGAACCAAAUGACCCUGGCGCCAUGGUGAUGACCUUUGACAAGGCUGCCCACAACAAAUUAUUACUACCUGAAAUGACGGCUGCCGACUUAUGGGACAGUGUAGACACUAUCAAACCAAGUGUAACUGAAGACGAGGUUCAGAAGUUCUAAGCCUUUUAGCAGACGGUCGGCUUCCGAGAUUUCAGCGUGGACCUUUAUGUAUAGCACUCGUGCAUAGAAAAUACAGUAUUUACUUCAUUCAGUACUUUUUCUAUUUACAAUACGUAACAAGUAAAUGACAGAUAUUAGUACAAUGUUUUGUUUAGUUUUUCCACCUUUGAGUCACAUUGAUGUUUUAAAUAUAAGGAUAAUGAAGACAGACAUUGAACAAGUUGGAUUCUUUAUUUUCGUUUCAAGAUUGUGUCCAUGCAUAGUUGUACAAUGUCGAAGUAAAUAUACUAGCUAAUUAUCACUUACUUAUUAA